rnacentral:misc_RNA from 1 species
GAUGAAGAACGCAGCAAAAUGCGAUACUUGGUGUGAAUUGCAGAAUCCCGUGAACCAUCGAGUUUUUGAACGCAAGUUGCGCCCGAAGCCUUUUGGCCGAGGGCACGUCUGCCUGGGCGUCACGCAUCGCGUCGCCCCCCACAACUCUCCGUAAAGGGAACUUGUGUUUUGGGGGCGGAUAUUGGUCUCCCGUGCUCAUGGCGUGGUUGGCCGAAAUAGGAGUCCCUCCGGUGGACGCACGAACUAGUGGUGGUCGUAAAACCCCUCGUCUUUUGUUUCGUGCCGUUAGUCGCGAGGGAAACUCUUUAAAAACCCAAAUGUGUCGUCUCUUGACGGCGCUUCGACCGCGACCCCAGGUCAGGCGGGACUACCCGCUGAGUUUAAGCAUAUCAAUAAGCGGAGGA